GACGAACGCUGGCGGCGUGGAUUAGGCAUGCAAGUCGAACGGUAGGAUACCUUCGGGUAUCUGAGAGUGGCGAACGGGUGAGUAACACGUAGGUGAUCUACCCUCAAGAUUGGGACAACCCAGGGAAACUUGGGCUAAUACCGGAUGAAAGCAGCAGCGAUGUUGUUGAAAGGUGGCGUAAGCUGCCGUUUGGGGAUGAGCCUGCGCUCUAUUAGUUAGUUGGCGGGGUAAAGGCCCACCAAGGCGAUGAUAGAUAGGCGGCCUUAACGGGUGGUCGCCCACACUGGGAUUGAGAUACGGCCCAGACUCCUACGGGAGGCAGCAGUCGAGAAUAGUCUACAAUGGCCGAAAGGCUGAUAGUGCGACGCCGCGUGAACGAAGAAGCCCUUCGGGGUGUAAAGUUCUUUUAUAUGUGAGCAGUGCUUUCUAUGUGAACAGCAUAGUGAGAGAGAUAUUAGCAUAUGAAUAAGCAACGGCUAACUCCGUG
rnacentral:rRNA from 1 species